ACGAACGCUGGCGGCGUGCCUAAUACAUGCAAGUAGAACGCUGAAGAGAGGAGCUUGCUCUUCUUGGAUGAGUUGCGAACGGGUGAGUAACGCGUAGGUAACCUGCCUUGUAGCGGGGGAUAACUAUUGGAAACGAUAGCUAAUACCGCAUAACAAUGGAUGACACAUGUCAUUUAUUUGAAAGGGGCAAUUGCUCCACUACAAGAUGGACCUGCGUUGUAUUAGCUAGUAGGUGAGGUAACGGCUCACCUAGGCGACGAUACAUAGCCGACCUGAGAGGGUGAUCGGCCACACUGGGACUGAGACACGGCCCAGACUCCUACGGGAGGCAGCAGUAGGGAAUCUUCGGCAAUGGGGGCAACCCUGACCGAGCAACGCCGCGUGAGUGAAGAAGGUUUUCGGAUCGUAAAGCUCUGUUGUAAGUCAAGAACGAGUGUGAGAGUGGAAAGUUCACACUGUGACGGUAGCUUACCAGAAAGGGACGGCUAACUACGUGCCAGCAGCCGCGGUAAUACGUAGGUCCCGAGCGUUGUCCGGAUUUAUUGGGCGUAAAGCGAGCGCAGGCGGUUUGAUAAGUCUGAAGUUAAAGGCUGUGGCUCAACCAUAGUUCGCUUUGGAAACUGUCAAACUUGAGUGCAGAAGGGGAGAGUGGAAUUCCAUGUGUAGCGGUGAAAUGCGUAGAUAUAUGGAGGAACACCGGUGGCGAAAGCGGCUCUCUGGUCUGUAACUGACGCUGAGGCUCGAAAGCGUGGGGAGCGAACAGGAUUAGAUACCCUGGUAGUCCACGCCGUAAACGAUGAGUGCUAGGUGUUGGAUCCUUUCCGGGAUUCAGUGCCGCAGCUAACGCAUUAAGCACUCCGCCUGGGGAGUACGACCGCAAGGUUGAAACUCAAAGGAAUUGACGGGGGCCCGCACAAGCGGUGGAGCAUGUGGUUUAAUUCGAAGCAACGCGAAGAACCUUACCAAGUCUUGACAUCCUGCGACGAUGCUGGAAACAGUAUUUACCUUCGGGACGCAGAGACAGGUGGUGCAUGGUUGUCGUCAGCUCGUGUCGUGAGAUGUUGGGUUAAGUCCCGCAACGAGCGCAACCCCUAUUGUUAGUUGCCAUCAUUCAGUUGGGCACUCUAGCGAGACUGCCGGUAAUAAACCGGAGGAAGGUGGGGAUGACGUCAAAUCAUCAUGCCCCUUAUGACCUGGGCUACACACGUGCUACAAUGGUUGGUACAACGAGUUGCGAGUCGGUGACGGCAAGCUAAUCUCUUAAAGCCAAUCUCAGUUCGGAUUGUAGGCUGCAACUCGCCUACAUGAAGUCGGAAUCGCUAGUAAUCGCGGAUCAGCACGCCGCGGUGAAUACGUUCCCGGGCCUUGUACACACCGCCCGUCACACCACGAGAGUUUGUAACACCCGAAGUCGGUGAGGUAACCUUUUGGAGCCAGCCGCCUAAGGUGGGAUAGAUGAUUGGGGUG
rnacentral:rRNA from 1 species